GUGAGGGGCACCUGGGCGGGGGGGGGGGCUUGAGGGGUAGCCGGGCGGGUGUGGCACCUGGCCCGGGUGUCACCCGUCCCACCGGUCCCACCUCACCUGCUCCGGGUGUGUCACCGGUCCCACCUCACCUGUUCCAGGUGUGUCACCGGUCCCACCUGUCCCAGGUGUCCCACCCGUCCCACCUGUCCCACCUCACCUGCUCCGGGUGUGUCACCGGUCCCACCUGUCCCAGGUGCGUCACCCGUCCCACCUGUCCCACCUCACCUGCUCCGGGUGUGUCACCUGUCCCACCUCACCUGUCCCAGGUGUGGCAUCUGUCCCACCUGUCCCACCUCACCUGUUCCAGGUGUGGCUCCUGUCCCAGCUGUCACCCGUCCCACCUGUCCCACCUCACCUGCUCUGCGUGUGUCACCUGUCCCACCUGUCCCACUCACCUGGGGGUCCUUGGCGGGCUGCAGCGCCUGUGCCACCUCACCUGCCCCAGGUGUGUCACCUGCCCCAGGUGUGUGUCACCUGUCCAGGUGUGUGUCACCUGUCCAGGUGUGUCACCUGUGCUCACCUGGGGGUCCUCGCUCUGGCGGAUCACCUGGCCCUGCCGGUCCAUCACCCGGUACACCGGGAUCCCGGCUGUGUCACCUGUCCCAGGUGUGUGUCACCUGUCCAGGUGUGUGUCA